AUAUUCACCAGCUAGAAACCUCCAGCCCAUCACUUCAUUAGCAGGUAGGAUUCCACAAAGCUGACUCAAACAAAGGACAGAAUAUCAUGGAAUGUUCCCAUUCAGACUUUACUACUUUGCGAUUCUGUCUCUGUGUAAGGCAGAAACCAAGAACCUGUUUCCAUAAGCUACAAAAUAGCUUGUUGUUUCACAGUCCAGGAAGGAGAACAAGGAAAAGCCUAUGUUCAAAGAAGAAGAAGCACUAUACGCAAACAGAGCAAAGGUGAGUCAGAUGAACAUUUCUGAAAGGCAGAUGUUCCACUGUUCUCCUUUUGAUGUGCUUCUGAGGGCAAGCAGGAAAGGGAGAGCCCUUUCUCUCGCCUCUGAAAUACAACAGGAAAUGCCCUGAAAGGCAGAUGUUCCACUGUUCUCCUUUUGAUGUGCUUCUGAGGGCAAGCAGGAAAAGGAGAGCCCUUUCUAUCAUACCGCCCGUCUUUUGGAGAUCUCUCGCCUCUGAAUUACAACAGGAAAUGCUCUUUAUGGUGUUUUGACACCUAUGAAAAGUGUAUCUGUUUGGCCAAGCAGUUGCUCAUUUUAAUUAUAAAUUUUCAAACCUAUCCUCAUAAGAUUUUUU
rnacentral:lncRNA from 1 species